GACGGAGGAUGCAAGUGUUAUCCGGAAUCACUGGGCGUAAAGCGUCUGUAGGUGGUUUAAAAAGUCCACUGUUAAAAAUUGAAGCUUAACUUCAAAGAUGCCGUGGAAACUUUUAAACUUGAGUAUGAUAGGGGUAGAGGGAAUUUCCAGUGGAGCGGUGAAAUGCGUAGAUAUUGGAAAGACCACCAAUGGCGAAGGCACUCUACUGGGCCGACACUGACACUGAGAGACGAAAGCUAGGGGAGCGAAUGGG
rnacentral:rRNA from 1 species